rnacentral:tRNA from 1 species
AAGGGAGACCUAAUUCAGGUAGGAGACGAAAAAAAAGUAGUCGCUACCAAGAAUCAAUCCCAAAAGGUCGGAGCGAGGCGAAAUUGGCUUUCAAACUAGGUUCUGGGUUCACACAAGACCUGAAUCAGGAACAAGGGCUAUUAGCUCAGGUGGUUAGAGCGCACCCCUGAUAAGGGUGAGGUCCCUGGUUCGAGUCCAGGAUGGCCCACCUGUACAGGUGGCAAAAAGAAAGAAAGGAAGCGAGGAAUCAGCACCUUAUCUUACUGACAUAGUAAGAGAGAAUGCUGGCUCUGAGUAAAGAGUCCAGAGGAACCUUGAAAACUGCAUAGAGCUAGGUGAAAAAGCCAAAAAAGAAGACCGCAA